GAAAAGAUAGUUCAGAGGAUUGGAAGGAACUUUCACCAAGCACAAUAUCCCUCAGAAGCCACUCAAUGUUGAAACAGGUGUUGUGCCUUGCCCUAGUGGCACUUGCAGCAGCCCAGAAUGUUGAUGAGCAGUGUGGGACGUGCGUGGUGGAUGGCGGUCCUUUGACAGAGAAUGGUGCCGUUGGCUACACUUACGAUCCUAACGACUGUGGCGGAUACUGGGUCUGCAUUAGGCGCA